UACAGAGGGUGCGAGCGUUGUUCGGAAUUACUGGGCGUAAAGCGCGCGCAGGCGGCUUCCUAAGUCAGAUGUGAAAUCCCCGGGCUCAACCUGGGAACUGCGUUUGAAACUGGGAGGCUGGAGUGCGGCAGAGGGGGGUGGAAUUCCAGGUGUAGCAGUGAAAUGCGUAGAUAUGUGGAGGAACACCGAUGGCGAAGGCAGCCCCCUGGGCCAGCACUGACGCUGAUGCACGAAAGCGUGGGGAGCAAACAGG
rnacentral:rRNA from 1 species